rnacentral:lncRNA from 1 species
UCUAUACCUGCCUCUCAAUUUUGCUGUGAAUCUAAAAUUACUCUAAAAAAUAGUCUUUUAAAAAAUGCUAAUCUCCUCAGUUCCUAUAUACCAACACAGAGCUUUGUCCUUUUUUACAAGGUAGAGGCUGAGGUGGGAGGAUCACUUGAGCCCAAGUAGUUUGAGACCAGCCUAGGCAACAUAGUGAGACCCCAUCUCUACCAAAAAAAAAAAAAAACUGGGACAAGAUUCUAAAACCAGCUCACACUUCAGGCUGGUAACCCAUGCUUUUGCUGCCUGUGGAAGUUCAGCCUUGAGGCCCUGAAGCCGACUCCACAAACAGCUCAGCUGCUCCCCUACAGUGCUCAUUGCUUUAUGCUGCAAUAACAGCCACUCCUUUCUCUGGUUUGGGUCCAACAAACAAUCCUUCGACAGAAGUUUUCUCCCCUAUGAACCCACAGAAUCCCAUCCCUGCCUCUGUAUCCCACUCUAUCAUCAAUGAAUCACCACACCUCCCAGGCUCAGGUCAUCCUCCCACCUCAGCCUACCAGGUCAUUGGGACUACAGGUGCACACCACCACACCUGGCUAAUUUUUGUAUUUUUUGUAGAGA